rnacentral:lncRNA from 1 species
GUCUACGGCCAAAAGUCUACAAAAGACCGGCUCUUAAAAAUGAAUUGUCCUACGACCUACAAGUCGGACACGUUUUCCAAUCUUAUGACUUCACCUCUGCAACUCCUCAAGGCCAACCAAAAGCUAUCCGGUCGCUCCGUCCACCAGGGACCUGAAAUUUUAAUCCCACAACCGGGAUGAGACGAUGUCUCAGCAAGUUCAACCCCCUAAACCCCUAUUAGAAAGAAAAUACACCCCAAGUGGCCUAGCCACAUCACACAGAAGACUUACCUCGCAAUAGUCUUCAUCUGCAGGUUAGCACAGUUUAUAUAAUUCAACCACGUACAAUUAUGGUAACCAAACAACCAUGGCACAAUCGCACCAUCAAAACAAUUAAACCACUUAGAUCGUCUCAGCGAUCAAUCGACUUGGCCGAUUACAUGUCAAUUCAACAAUUCAAUCAUUAAUCUUAAUCACGGCCCUAUAGAAAGGUUUAACCACCAGUGGCAAUCACGGCCCCACUCGGCACGACCUUUAUUUAGGUGGUCCAUCACGGCCUCACUGAGCACGACCUCUCAUAGGUGGUCCAUCACGACCUCACUGGGCACGACCUCUCAUAGGUGGUCCAUCACGGCCAAUCUCCCAUCAAUUUCAACACUUGGAUUUUAUAAAGAAUCCCUAUCUAUCGCAAUCACACUCAGUUUGCCACAAUCAAUCAUCAAAUUCAAAUUCUAAAUACACAGCAGCGAUCGGCACGAAAUUCUGAGAGAACAAGGUCCCGACAAAAUUUUCGGAAUUUAAUAGAUAAUUAAAUUUAUUCCGAAAAUUAAUUAAAUAAUAAUAUCCAUAUUUUCGUCAUCCACACCCAAUUUAUAAUAUCCAACUGUCAAUUUCAAAAUCUGAACACAUAACAGCGAUCGGCACGAAAUUCUGAGAAUUUAGGGUCCCAAAAUAAUUUUUCGAAUUUAUUAAAUAAUUAAAUUUAUUCCGAAAAUUAAUAUAAUAAUAAUAUCCAUAUUUUUCACGAUCCACGCUCAAUUUAUGAUAUCCAAUCAUCAAUUUCAAAAUCCAACUACACGGCAGCGAUCGGCACGAAAUUCUGAGCAACUGGGGUCAAAAUAAUUUUUUUUUUAAUAAUAAUAUUUUUAAUAAUUUCGGAAUAUGAUUUAUUAUUAAAUAAUCCAACAAUUUCGAAACAUUUAUUUAAAUCAUAAAUAAAUUCCUUUAAGUCACAUCAAGGUUUAUUUUAAAAAUAAACCUACUUAACCCUUAAACUAAACAUGUUUAACUUUAAUUAAACAACUUAAUCUAAUCCAUAUUUAAAUAAACUAAUCUACCAACCUAAUCUUACUUAACUUAGACUAAGCACACUUAGGGCAUCAUUAACCCUAUAAUCAAGAUUUAGUGAGUUAAACUCACCGGAUUAGCGAGCCGAGCGGACCAAAACGACGGGGACGAUGCGAGGAUCGACUUUCCUCAAAGCGGGCCGAGCAUCUGGGCUCGGGAAGGCGGCCAAAACAAGCCAAACGUCCGCUGCAUACCCAUUUUCUUCUAGCUGCUGCUCACGGCGGAGGAGGGCUGAUCUGGCAUCGGUUUGGGCGGCCAAGGGCGGCGGAGGCAAGGCGAAGCUCCGGCGGGCUAAGGCGGGGGCGCACGGCGGCUCACGGUGGCUGAUCCGCGACCUAGGCUGGUCGACGGGGCUUGGUCGCGGGGGCGGACGAAGGCACGGCCGAGGCAGAGUCAAGCGAGACGGCGAGGUGAGGCGAGGCGCGCGCGCGGG